GAGACUGANNGGUGAAGCGGGGGAUCGCAAGACCUCGCGCUGGAAGAGCGGCCGAUGUCCGAUNAGCUAGUUAGUGAGGUAAAGGCUCACCAAGGCGACGAUCGGUAGCUGGUCUGAGAGGACGACCAGUCACACUGGGACUGAGACACGGCCCAGACUCCUACGGGAGGCAGCAGUGGGGAAUUUUGGACAAUGGGGGCAACCCUGAUCCAGCCAUGCCGCGUGCAGGAUGAAGGUCUUCGGAUUGUAAACUGCUUUUGUCAGGGACGAAAAGGGAUGCGAUAACACCGCAUUCCGCUGACGGUACCUGAAGAAUAGCACCGGCAACU
rnacentral:rRNA from 1 species